rnacentral:rRNA from 1 species
UGUAUAAUGGGUCAGCGACUUAUAUUCUGUAGCAAGGUUAACCGAAUAGGGGAGCCGAAGGGAAACCGAGUCUUAACUGGGCGUUAAGUUGCAGGGUAUAGACCCGAAACCCGGUGAUCUAGCCAUGGGCAGGUUGAAGGUUGGGUAACACUAACUGGAGGACCGAACCGACUAAUGUUGAAAAAUUAGCGGAUGACUUGUGGCUGGGGGUGAAAGGCCAAUCAAACCGGGAGAUAGCUGGUUCUCCCCGAAAGCUAUUUAGGUAGCGCCUCGUGAAUUCAUCUCCGGGGGUAGAGCACUGUUUCGGCAAGGGGGUCAUCCCGACUUACCAACCCGAUGCAAACUGCGAAUACCGGAGAAUGUUAUCACGGGAGACACACGGCGGGUGCUAACGUCCGUCGUGAAGAGGGAAACAACCCAGACCGCCAGCUAAGGUCCCAAAGUCAUGGUUAAGUGGGAAACGAUGUGGGAAGGCCCAGACA